rnacentral:rRNA from 1 species
GAUGAACGCUGGCGGCGUGCUUAACACAUGCAAGUCGAACGGAAAGGCCCAAGCUUGCUUGGGUACUCGAGUGGCGAACGGGUGAGUAACACGUGGGUGAUCUGCCCUGCACUUCGGGAUAAGCCUGGGAAACUGGGUCUAAUACCGGAUAGGACCACAUUUUGGAUGGUGUGGUGGAAAGUUUUUCGGUGUGGGAUGAGCUCGCGGCCUAUCAGCUUGUUGGUGGGGUAAUGGCCUACCAAGGCGUCGACGGGUAGCCGGCCUGAGAGGGUGUACGGCCACAUUGGGACUGAGAUACGGCCCAGACUCCUACGGGAGGCAGCAGUGGGGAAUAUUGCACAAUGGGCGCAAGCCUGAUGCAGCGACGCCGCGUGGGGGAUGACGGCCUUCGGGUUGCAAACUCCUUUCGCUAGGGACGAAGCGCAAGUGACGGUACCUGGAGAAGAAGCACCGGCUAACUACGUG